rfam:Salmo salar isolate Sally breed double haploid chromosome ssa02, whole genome shotgun sequence.
GCCUCGUUGGUGCAGCAGGCACUGCGUCAAUCUCAUAAUCUUAAGGUCGUGAGUUCGAUCCUCACACGGGGCA